CUUUCAUUUACUUACUGCAAAACAAUUGUUUAAGAGUGAGUGAAAAACAAUGUAAUUGCAUCGCAGCUAUUCCCUUCAAGAUAGCUCUACCUCGAGUUUAGUGGAUUUACCACUGGGAAAAAUGAAAGUAGAUUACAUUGUUGCUUCAACUCGGUCAUCAAUUAAGCAAAUAUAUGAUGUUAUAUCAUGCUUCGAUGAGAGGAAAAGGUCUUUAGUUAAGUCAAUUGGAUUUGGUGGUUUGCUGUUAUUCCCCUCACUAAUAAGGCAAAUAAACCGCCGGUUUACAGUUGCAGCUUGGCUGAUGAGCAGAGUAGAUCCACUCUCACAGACACUUGGUAUUGACUCCACAAAACACAUUAAGUAGCAAAACAGAUCUUCAAAAAGUAUUCGGAAUAUCAUGCAAUGGAAAGAGUAUAUCUGAUUGUGGUAUGCCACGGAAGGAUAUCAUUGCAACUGUAAUGGGGUUAUACCUUAGUACAGAAACCCAGGAAAACUGGAGUAUAAAAGCUUCACAAGAAGUUUUAGAAAGAAAAUAUGGCAAUGAAAUGACACAAUCUGACCAGGAUGCGUUUAAAGUAGCAUUUGUCAUAUAUAUAAUGUCAACAUUAUUAUCACCUGGCUCCAAAUAUGACUAUGUGUCAGUGGAUUACUGGGAUGCUCUUGUGGACCCAUCAAGCAUCGGAGAUUUCGAUUGGUCAGAUUAUGUAAUAAAGAAGCUAUUCCAGGCAGUCGUCAAGCUAAAAGACUGAGCUUCAGCUUAGCAACAAAGUGUCAAAUAUUACAGGAUGCUCCAUUUUCCUGCAGGUGCUUUACCUCGACAGUAUGGAUAUUGGAGUGAUCAGUAUGGAGCAUUCAUCAUUCUCCACGCAUUAGACAUUUCUCGGCAGAAACAAUGAAGUCUAUGGUGCUUGCUGAUAGUUUGUGCAGAACUGCAGACAGUAACGAGUUCGAAUUUGGCAAGAGUCAGGAGGCUACAAGACUGUGACUCGGAAUGUACAACUCAAUGGGACUGGUAGUGACUCUUCCACAACUAUAAUUGAACGCAGAUCAGGGGAUUCUGGUAAUGGUACCACACCAACACUAUUAUAUGAAGGUCUCAGCGGCAAGACUCUCCCCAUACAAUUUGACAUUACUGCU